rnacentral:rRNA from 1 species
AGUGAACGCUGGCGGCAGGCCUAACACAUGCAAGUCGAGCGGCAGCGCGUCCGACCACCCUCGGGUGGUCGGAUGGCGGCGAGCGGCGGACGGGUGAGGAAUGCAUCGGAAUCUGCCUCGUUGUGGGGGAUAACGUAGGGAAACUUACGCUAAUACCGCAUACGACCUACGGGUGAAAGUGGGGGACCUUCGGGCCUCACGCGAUGAGAUGAGCCGAUGCCGGAUUAGCUAGUUGGCGGGGUAAAGGCCCACCAAGGCGACGAUCCGUAGCUGGUCUGAGAGGAUGAUCAGCCACACUGGAACUGAGACACGGUCCAGACUCCUACGGGAGGCAGCAGUGGGGAAUAUUGGACAAUGGGGGCAACCCUGAUCCAGCCAUGCCGCGUGUGUGAAGAAGGCCUUCGGGU